UGGGGAAUAUUGCGCAAUGGGCGAAAGCCUGACGCAGCGACGCCGCGUGAGGGAUGAAGGUUUUCGGAUCGUAAACCUCUGUCAGAAGGGAAGAAACCGCACUGUGCUAAUCAGCAGUGCCUUGACGGUACCUUCAAAGGAAGCACCGGCUAACUCCGUGCCAGCAGCCGCGGUAAUACGGAGGGUGCAAGCGUUAAUCGGAAUUACUGGGCGUAAAGCGCACGUAGGCUGCUUUGUAAGUCAGGGGUAAAAUCCCACGGCUCAACCGUGGAACUGCCUUUGAUACUGCUUAGCUUGAAUCCGGGAGAGGGUGGCGGAAUUCCAGGUGUAGGAGUGAAAUCCGUAGAUAUCUGGAGGAACAUCAGUGGCGAAGGCGGCCACCUGGACCGGUAUUGACGCUGAGGUGCGAAAGCGUGGGGAGCAAACAGG
rnacentral:rRNA from 1 species